AGGCACUCCGCUCUAGGGGGAGAGGGAGAGAAAGGCUUGCUGUUUGCCCGGGAAGGGAGCAGACACUGGGGCCCUUGUCCUGGGGCAGCGGGGGAGCUGCUGGCCAGAUGGAGAGCGGCCGGGGGCUGGGGCCAGGGAGAGGAGGGGUUCCAGGCCCAGCCAUGAGCCUCUUCCUCCCAGCCCCCACCCAGCUCCCAGGCCUGCCCGAGACCCAAGGAAGGGCACCCCACUCCCACCCAGAUACAGAACCUCCAAAGGCAGUCCUAGGGCUGAGGCCCCAACGCUGCAAAAACCCCCCAGGUUUGGGCCAUUGACGCUGGGCAGGCUUCUCUCUGGAAGCGGUUCUCCUGGUCUAUGCCUAUGUGCGUGUGCUCAGAGGUGUCUGACUCCUUUUGACCCCAUGGACUGUAGCCCUCCCACGGACUGUAGCCCUCCAGGCUCCUCUGUGCGUGGGAUUCUCCAGGCAAGAACACUGGAGCGGGUCGCCACGCCCUCCUCCAGGGGAUCUCCCCGACCCAGGGAUCGAACCCGCGUCUCCUGCGUUGGCAGCAGUCUCCUGGUUGGCAGUGAAUGAACCCAGCCUCGGGCCUUCAGAGCCGCAUUCCGGUGAGGAGGCUGCGGCUCACUGUAGCCAAGGAGACAAAUAGCUGAUGGACGGACGGGAAAAUUCCGCUACUGAACAGGCGGAUUCUUUACCAUCUGAGCCACGAGGGAAGCCCUUGUCCUGGCCAAACAGGAGGGGCCAGUGGAGGUGCUGCCGAG